UACGGGGGGGGCAAGCGUUGUUCGGAAUUACUGGGCGUAAAGGGCUCGUAGGCGGCCAACUAAGUCAGACGUGAAAUCCCUCGGCUUAACCGGGGAACUGCAUCUGAUACUGGAUGGCUUGAGUUCGGGAGAGGGAUGCGGAAUUCCAGGUGUAGCGGUGAAAUGCGUAGAUAUCUGGAGGAACACCGGUGGCGAAGGCAGCUCGCUGGGACGUGACUGACGCUGAGACGCGAAAGCGUGGGGAGCGAACGGG
rnacentral:rRNA from 1 species